rnacentral:rRNA from 1 species
UCGGGUUCGCAUUGUAAUUUGUAGAGGAUGAUUUGGGGAAGCCGCCUGUCUAAGUUCCUUGGAACAGGACGUCAUAGAGGGUGAGAAUCCCGUAUGUGACAGGAAAUGGCACCCUAUGUAAAUCUCCUUCGACGAGUCGAGUUGUUUGGGAAUGCAGCUCUAAAUGGGAGGUAAAUUUCUUCUAAAGCUAAAUAUUGGCGAGAGACCGAUAGCGCACAAGUAGAGUGAUCGAAAGAUGAAAAGCACUUUGGAAAGAGAGUUAAAAAGCACGUGAAAUUGUUGAAAGGGAAGCGCUUGCAAUCAGACUUGUUUAAACUGUUCGGCCGGUCUUCUGACCGGUUUACUCAGUUUGGACAGGCCAGCAUCAGUUUCGGCGGCCGGAUAAAGGCUCUGGGAAUGUGGCCUCCACUUCGGUGGAGGUGUUAUAGCCCAGG